CCUACGGGGUGCAGCAGUGAGGAAUAUUGGUCAAUGGCCGGAAGGCUGAACCAGCCAUGCCGCGUGAAGGUCAGUGCCCUAUGGGCGUUAAACUUCUUUUGUGCGGGAGCAAUAAUGGUCACGUGUGGCCAGACGAGAGUACCGUACGAAUAAGCAUCGGCUAACUCCGUGCCAGCAGCCGCGGUAAUACGGGGGAUGCAAUCGUUAUCCGGAUUUAUUGGGUUUAAAGGGUGCGUAGGCUGUGAGGUAAGUCAGCGGUGAAAUGCCCCCGCUCAACGGGGUGAAGUGCCAUUGAUACUGCCUGGCUGGAAUGCGGAUGCCGUGGGAGGAAUGUGUGGUGUAGCGGUGAAAUGCAUAGAUAUCACACAGAACACCGAUUGCGAAGGCAUCUCACGAAUCCGCGAUUGACGCUGAUGCACGAAAGCGUGGGUAUCAAACAGGAUUAGAUACCCCAGUAGUC
rnacentral:rRNA from 1 species